rnacentral:rRNA from 1 species
AUGAACGCUGGCGGCGUGCCUAACACAUGCAAGUCGAGCGGAGAUCGAAGAAGUAGCAAUACGGAAACGAUUUUAGCGGCGGACGGGUGAGUAACACGUGAGUAACCUACCUUCAACAGGGGAAUAACACCGUGAAAACGGUGCUAAUACCGCAUAACAUUAUCUUGUGGCAUCGCAGGAUAAUCAAAGGAGCAAUCCGGUGGAAGAUGGACUCGCGUCCGAUUAGCUAGUUGGUGAGGUAAAGGCCCACCAAGGCGACGAUCGGUAGCCGAACUGAGAGGUUGAUCGGCCACAUUGGGACUGAGACACGGCCCAGACUCCUACGGGAGGCAGCAGUGGGGAAUAUUGGGCAAUGGGCGCAAGCCUGACCCAGCAACGCCGCGUGAAGGAAGAAGGCUUUCGGGUUGUAAACUUCUUUGAUCAGGGACGAAAAAAAUGACGGUACCUGAAAAACAAGCCACGGCUAACUACGU